CAUUGGCUAACAGAAUAAAGCGAUGUGAAGACAAGGUACAAACUUUUAUAGUUGCUAUAAAAGUUUGUACCUUGUCUUCACAUCGCUUUAUUCUGUUAG